GAUGAACGCUGGCGGCGUGCCUAAUACAUGCAAGUCGAGCGAUCGGACUUGAUGCUUGCUCCUAUUAGGAUAGCGGCGGACGGGUGAGUAACGCGUGGGUAAUCUGCCUUUGAGAGGGGGAUAACUUCGGGAAACGAAUGCUAAUACCGCAUGACAACUUUAAACAUAAGGUUCAAGUUUGAAAGAUGCAAUUGCAUCACUCAAAAGAGAUACCGCGCGUUAUUUGCUAGUUGGUAAGGUAAAGGCUCACCAAGGCAAGGAUACAUUGCCGACCUGGGAGGGUGAUCGCCCAAACGGGACCUGGGCCACGGUCCAGACUCCUCCGGAAGGAACAAGUAGGGAAUCUUGCGCAUUGGGGGAAGGCCGGACGGAGCAACGCGGGGUAGGUGAGGAAGGUCUUCGGAUCGUAAAACUCUGUUGUUAGGGAGGAAGAUAUGUGUAGGUAACUGUGCACAUCUUGACGGUACCUAAUCAGAAAGCCACGGCUAACUACGUG
rnacentral:rRNA from 1 species